rnacentral:rRNA from 1 species
UGGGGAAUCUUGGACAAUGGGGGCAACCCUGAUCCAGCCAUGCCGCGUGAGUGAUGAAGGCCUUAGGGUCGUAAAGCUCUUUCGCCUGUGAAGAUAAUGACGGUAGCAGGUAAAGAAGUCCCGGCUAACUCCGUGCCAGCAGCCGCGGUAAUACGGAGGGGGUUAGCGUUGUUCGGAAUUACUGGGCGUAAAGCGCACGUAGGCGGACCAGAAAGUUGGGGGUGAAAUCCCGGGGGCUCAACCCCGGAACUGCCUCCAAAACUAUUGGUCUAGAGUUCGAGAGAGGUGAGUGGAAUUCCAAGUGUAGAGGUGAAAUUCGUAGAUAUUUGGAGGAACACCAGUGGCGAAGGCGGCUCACUGGCUCGAUACUGACGCUGAGGUGCGAAAGUGUGGGGAGCAAACAGGAUUAGAUACCCUGGGUAGUCCACGCCGUAAAACGAUGAGCACUCGG